rnacentral:rRNA from 1 species
GCCUACCAAGGCGACGAUCAGUAGCCGACCUGAGAGGGUGACCGGCCACAUUGGGACUGAGACACGGCCCAAACUCCUACGGGAGGCAGCAGUGGGGAAUAUUGCACAAUGGGGGAAACCCUGAUGCAGCGACGCCGCGUGAGUGAAGAAGUAUUUCGGUAUGUAAAGCUCUAUCAGCAGGGAAGAAAAUGACGGUACCUGACUAAGAAGCCCCGGCCCCCUAACUAC